UGCCUUUAUGUGUUGCCCGUCCGUUUUCUUAGAUGGAUGUGGUGUCAAAUAAGGCGCACAGAAUCUCUUAUAAUGGCUACUUCCGGUCACACAAAUCCCUCUGGUUUCUGUGAAGCGCUGUGAUAAGGACACGA